AACGGCAAUGACUUUUGCACCA
rnacentral:miRNA from 1 species